CCUAUUUACAUCAAUUUCUCAGAAGAAAAGUUUUUCCAUUUCAGCACACAUCCAAAAAUGAUUAGCAUAGAGAACAAAAUAUUACACCAACCAAUAAAGGAAAAUGCUUGAAACAUGGAUUUUCCCCUCUUAUUCUUUCCAUCCAAUGGUUUCCUCUUACCAUCACAUGCAUGACUAACGCCCAUGAAAAUUUCUGUGGGCGUCUGUAAGUAAACAUAAUGUUAGAGGAGAAAGGUAUUUUAUGUGGGAGAUGAUGAGUUAUACAUUAUUUCUAUUGCUAUCGGCAUUCUAGAGUUUUAUUGCAGUAUCUUGGAACCAUUCUUUGUGACGGCACGGAAGCAUGCAUGACAACCAUCAAAUUUCUGAAAAGUAAAUGGGCUGGUAAGUUGUCAUUGUUUUUGCUAUGCCUGAGUCCAGAUACCAGAGGCACACUUUGAGAUUUUGGUAUUUCAGUGCCAUGACAGAAGCAAUGGAGGAUCCCAUCUGCUGCGAAAGAGCGACAGGAACAUCAAAAUCUACAAAAAAAAGGAUACACAAGAAGACAGGUUAUGCAUGAUUUUAGCUGGUUCUCUAUAUCCACGGAUGGAGGAAAAGUAAAUGAGUUCAACAACAAGCGAUAAUAUGUGAACUGAUGCCAACGGUGGUCAUACAUUCCAGUGCAGCAGUAUUCAACCGGAACUGCAUUUCUAGUAAAUUUAUCAUAAAAUCAAGGGAACGUUGAGGAGGUGAAACAACAACUACAGCAUUCUCACACCAAGAAAUACAAGUAAAAGAAAACAUUACAAAGCAAUCACACAAACAAGCAUUAACAAAUGAGCCAUCUUAAAUAAUUAAGGUUCUCCCGAUUAUAAAAAGUAAAUAGACUUAUUCUCCAGUUUCUUGUGCAAGUAUUAUGGUUUAGUUGUUGGCAAUACCAGAAGAGAAGGGUGGCAAAGACGUUGACUGAAACAUUGAGGCCUUGUGUUCUCAUCCACGCAUGUCUGCUUCCUAAAGGAAAAAAGGAAUUUUCAAAAUCAGCCACAUCUAAUAAUAAUGCAGAUCAGAUGGCUAUCACAGAUUACCACGGGAAGUAACUGGUAACUAAGAGAAGAUAUUGGAACAAAGAGACUGGAUAACACCCCAGUUCAUCUAAGCAUAAAUUAUUUCUUCAGUCUGGACACCUUGGAUUCAUCCAAAAAAAAGGCUGGUUCCCAUGGAUCAGAGCUGGCCAUGAGGUACUAGAAAACAUAAAAAUGUCAAAAGCUCAUCCAAAAUAAUUGAUACAGAUGG
rnacentral:lncRNA from 1 species